CGCUCAUCCAGAGGGGCAGAGGGACACGGCCCGAUGAAGCCCCGGCAACCCUCCAGUCGGUUCUCGUUCUCAUCACAGCGAGGCUCCCGGCUAGGGAAGGUGCCAAAUCCGUCUCACGGCGAAGUGCGUCGUGAGGAAGAUGAGGA
rnacentral:ncRNA from 1 species